CAGCAGCAGCCGCGGGAAUACCGAGGGUGCGAGCGUUAAUCGGAUUUACUGGGCGUAAAGCGUGCGUAGGCGGCUUCUUAAGUCGGAUGUGAAAUCCCUGAGCUUAACUUAGGAAUUGCAUUCGAUACUGGGAAGAUAGAGUAUGGGAGAGGAUGGUAGAAUUCCAGGUGUAGCGGUGAAAUGCGUAGAGAUCUGGAGGAAUACCGAUGGCGAAGGCAGCCAUCUGGCCUAAUACUGACGCUGAGGUACGAAAGCAUGGGGAGCAAACAGGAUUAGAUACCCGAGUAGUCCCUGUCUCUUAUAC
rnacentral:rRNA from 1 species